GAAUAUUAUUAUAUGUAACCUCUUAAUACAUAGCUAUAUAUAUUCUAUUAUUUGCGUUUAUUAUAAGAUAUAUGUAUUAACCUACGUAUCAUUAGUAGAUAGUCUAUUGUGUGAAUGAGUAGGCGUAGGCCAAUGGUAUCUAGGCAUGCGCACUAACGGCGUGUCUAUUGGUCGGGAGGUCAUAACACUGGGGGUAGGUGUGUCGGGUAUUCUGUGGAUCACCUAUAGGGGAUAUAUAUCGAACCAGUGCAGAAUGAAGAUAACCCUGAUCCUCCAAACACCCUGAUCCUCCAAACACCCUGAUCAUCCAAACGUCUGAGCGCUAGGCUAAGCUAGUAGACUCGUCAUAGCGGCUGCAGAAUAAAGGAGAAGAAAGAAAAACAGCUACUACAACCUGCGCAACUAUGCCUACUGACUUUUUUCCGUAGUGAUUUCUGACGUCGGCUAUGAGAGCUUGAAAAGGCCUCAGGGUCCACGCGCACCAGGUGCUGAUAUUCGGUUGAAUAAUCGAAGAAAGAUACUCGGUGAUCGGACCAAUGUGGGGGCCAGCAGUAGUUAUGUACCUAUCGUGGAUGGUGUGAAACAGUGGACCCCUGGAUCAAACCGUCUAACCAAGAAAAAUCUCAAAAGCAUGUACCAACUGUUGUAAGGAUUGUGUCGGUAAAUUAACCUUGGUAACUACAGCAGUUGAUGUAAACUCCUCAACCAUUGGUCGUCAGUGUAAACUGGGUGCAUUGUCUGUGAAACGUAUUGACAGCAGAUUUCAGACUGUCGAAGCGCAAACGGCACAGUCACUCGAGAUCAUCGGGGAAAUCAAGGACGAGCUAGUGCGUUACGGUCUGGCUAUAAAAUCAAUACAGCAGCAGAUUUUGGUUGUCGAGGCAUCAGUGCGUGUUAACACUCUGGCCUUGGAUAGGGGGCUUCUGAUAUCUAAUAUGGCGCGGAAAAUUUGGCUAAUUGAAACUACGGCGCAGGAUAACAUCAGGGCCUACAAGGCCAUGUCUGCCCGGAUGACUAUCAUGAAUGAUGCUCUGGAUAUGCUUACGAUGAAUCGUUAGUAUUUGAUUUGUGGUUUUGGGGUGUUCUUUUUAUUCUUAUUUUUUUGUUUGUUAUCUUUUUCGUUUAUUCUGUGGAGAGGAUAUUUUUGUUUUAAACUGAACGUAAU